GACGAACGCUGGCGGCGUGCUUAACACAUGCAAGUCGAACGGAAAGGCCCCUUUGGGGGUACUCGAGUGGCGAACGGGUGAGUAACACGUGAGUAACCUGCCCUUGACUUCGGGAUAACUUCAGGAAACUGGGGCUAAUACCGGAUAGGAAUCCUUGCUGCAUGGUGGGGGUUGGAAAGCUUCGGCGGUUUUGGAUGGACUCGCGGCUUAUCAGCUUGUUGGUGGGGUAGUGGCUUACCAAGGCUUUGACGGGUAGCCGGCCUGAGAGGGCGACCGGCCACAUGGGGACUGAAGUACGGCCCAGAGUCCUACGGGAGGCGGAGGGGGGGAAUAUUGCACAAGGGGGGGAGGCGUGAUGCGGAAGCGCCGGGGGGGGGAGGACGGCCUUGGGGUUGAAAACCGCUUUCAGCGGGGGCGAAGCGUGUGGGAGGGGAACCGGAAAAGAAAGCACGGGCUAACUCGGG
rnacentral:rRNA from 1 species